rnacentral:rRNA from 1 species
UGAGGAAUUUUCUGCAAUGGGCGAAAGCCUGACAGAGCAAUACCGCGUGAGGGAUGAAGGCCUACGGGUUGUAAACCUCUUUUCUCAAGGAGGAAGAUCUGACGUUACUUGAGGAAUAAGCAUCGGCUAACCCUGUGCCAGCAGCCGCGGUAAUACAGGGGAUGCAAGUGUUAUCCGGAAUUAUUGGGCGUAAAGCGUCUGCAGGUUGAUAUUUAAGUCUUUUGUUAAAUCUUUGGGCUUAACCCAAAAACUGCAAAAGAAACUAUUUAUCUUGAGUAUGGUAGAGGUAAAGGGAAUUUCCAGUGGAGCGGUGAAAUGCGUAGAUAUUGGAAAGAACACCAACAGCGAAGGCACUUUACUGGGCCAUUACUGACACUCAGAGACGAAAGCUAGGGGAGCAAACGGG